rnacentral:rRNA from 1 species
GACGAACGCUGGCGGCGUGCUUAACACAUGCAAGUCGAGCGGGAUCCGGGCUUUCGGGUUUGGUGAGAGUGGCGAACGGGUGAGUAACACGUGAGUAACCUGCCCCCUUCUUUGGGAUAACGUCGGGAAAUCGGCGCUAAUACUGGAUAUUCUUGCUGCAUCGCAUGGUGUGGUUUGGAAAGGGUUUCUGGUGGGGGAUGGGCUCGCGGCCUAUCAGCUUGUUGGUGGGGUGAUGGCCUACCAAGGCUUUGACGGGUAGCCGGCCUGAGAGGGUGUCCGGCCACACUGGGACUGAGACACGGCCCAGACUCCUACGGGAGGCAGCAGUGGGGAAUAUUGCACAAUGGGCGCAAGCCUGAUGCAGCGACGCCGCGUGAGGGAUGACGGCCUUCGGGUUGUAAACCCCUUUCAGUAUGGAACAAGGAUCCUUCUUUUGGGGGGUUUGAGGGUACGUGCAGAAGAAGCGCCGGCUAACUACGUG